rnacentral:lncRNA from 1 species
UUACUUUCAUGGCUUCCACUGCUGUCAUAUACUAAUACUAAUAUUCUUUUCCAAAGCAAGAAAAGCUUGACUGAAAAUGAAGCUCAACGAAAAAGUAGGAUUCUCAAAUCAUUCGACCGUGAAUGAACAUUGCGCACAUCCUCAUUAGUCACAAAAGCUAAAGUUGAGUUGAACAAGAAUGAGCUGCAUUUUAGCCUCACCUACACAUCUCUUCUUUUCAAGCAGUUUCUGAUCUCAAACAUGGGUUAUUUCCCCUACAUGUAUGUUAUAUUUUGUGCAAUAAUUCCAACCAUUUUGGGCCAAGUUACAGGUGAGUUCUUCUUCAUUCUAUUACUUCCUUCUUGUUUUAGUGAUAUGAAAUCAUAAUCAAGACUGCUAUGUUUUCAUAAACUAUGUAACGUCUCGAAUUCAUCAUUCGAAGCAUUAAAUCGGAUCAAGAUUUAAAACGAAACACUAUUUAAAGUUAGCAAAGCAUCAACACACGCAGAGUUCAUUAGCAUAGACUGCGGAGGCACAAGCAGCUACACCGACAACAGCACCGGCCUGGCGUGGAUCUCAGACAACGGAAUCCAAGGCGACGGCGUGUCAGUGAGAGUGGGAGAUAUAAAUGGAAACUCACAGCAGCAGUAUCAGACAAGGAGGGAUUUCCCAACACGACAGCAAGAAGUACUGCUACACACUCACCACUGAAGAAAGACGGCGCUACAUUGUCCGCGCCACCUUCUUGUACGGGGCUUCGGUCAGCCAAGGCGCCUACCCCAAGUUCCAGCUCUACCUGGAUACAACAAAAUGGUCGACAGUGACGGUUAUGGAAGCUUCUAGAAUANAAAUAGAGCUUGGGCUAAAUUUUAUCGGCAUAAUUAAUUUUGUGCACUCUUAAUUCUCUUAUUAUCUGUUGAAUUAUUUUUGUGAUAAUUCUCUAUGAGAUGACUGAAUGAUCUGUCUAAAUGUACAAAUAAUUUAUUUGAAACUAUUUUUUAAAAAAGAGUAUCAAAACUAGACUAGACAAAAUCUCUAGGGGGAGUCCCGAGUCCGCAUCCAGUGAUCCGGAGCUUCGCGCGUUGAUCUAACCCAGCCCGUUGUCAUCUCGCCCCAUUUCGUCUCCAGUUAUACUAUAACUUAUAGUAUUACAUAAAUGAUAUUUUUAUAAAUAAUAAAUGAUACUUUUAUAAAAAAAAUACUCCCUCCGUCCCAAACGAAAUGGCCUAUUUCUUUUUAGCGUCGGAGAUUAAGAAAUGUGUAUAAAGUUAUAAAGUAGGUUGGUGUAAAUUAUUAAAUUCUAGGGAGUCCGAGCCGCACCAGUGAUCCGGAGCUUCGCGCAAACAGGUUGUCUUGCCAUUUCGUCUCCAGUUAUACUAUAACUUAAUUACAUAAGAAUUUUAUAAGUAAUAAAUGACUUAAAAAUAUCAUUUAAUGUUAAAAAUAUUAUUUUAUAUCAUAUUUUAUGUAUAGAUGUUAUUUGUUAUUAAAUGAAAGUAUUUAUUAUUGUAAGUGAAUGAGGCGGAGCGGAGCUCAACACAGCAGGCCUGGUCUGGUCGGGUGAAUGCGCGGAGCUCCAAACGGCACAGUACGAACUCCUGUACAAAAGAUCAAUUUUUUUUUUAUGUUUUUUUCCUUAGUUCUUUGUUUCCGGAAAUUAUUUGGGAAAAGAUCUCGACCGUUGAUCUUCAGCCAAGGCUGAGAAGAUGUCAUGUAUCAGCAUCGAUCUUUAUCUUCCUUUUAACCUUCGAUUAUGUAUGAGGUUAUAUGCUCACCAGUCUAAAUUAACUAUUUAAUUCCAGCUAGAGUUUGAGUUUAUAAUCAAUUAUGGUUGUUUGAAUUUUAUUCCAAUUUGACAAUUAAUCCUAGUCCUAAUAUUUUGGGAAGUUUCUUAUUUAUAUCCUUGUAAGACUAAGAAUAUUGCUAUUAAAUUGUAAUGCAUAGUUUUAUAUUUUAAAUGAAUUAAAAUGAUAUCAUUGUCUUAUAAUGCAAAAAUUAAGGACUAUAUAGUCCAUAUCAACGAAUAAUAAAGAGAGCGCAAAUGGGCCAAGUGUUGCUUCAUGCAGCAGAUGAUAUGGUUGUACAGCAGGUUAAGAAGCAUACUUUUUCAAAGUGAGGGACAACUUUGUCCAAAGUGACAACACAAAAAGGAGAUCAUGUUGCCAUCAAAAGCAAAAGUGGUUAAAGCAUAAAAGCAAACAAAAUUUAAAUAAUCUAAUUUUCUACCAUAUUCAUUUUUUUCCCCCAAUCUUGAUUUGUUUUGUUUAUACGCAAAAGAUCUUUUGCAUGGCAUGAGUGUGACCUCUUUUUAGUGCUCCUCAACCUAGGAUAAUAUUUCAUUUCAAAUAUCAUACAAUCUGCCCACACGUAGCCACCCAUGAUGAGAAUUAAUUAAGAAAAUUUAAAACCAUGCACGAACAAUUCAUUAUGUUUAAGCCUUUCUAAUUCUAAACAAAACGAAAAUGUACAUAAUGUUUAUUCUCUGCUCAGAUAAUAGUAGUACUUUUACCUAUCCGCACUUUUGGUAGAGAGAGAGUAUGAUAGUAAAAUCGUUUUCAUAUACUCCCUCCGUCCCAUUAUAAGUGGCUCAAAAAUUUUUCGGCACGAGAAUUAAAGAGAGAUGUAAAUGUGUUAAAAGUGGUAGAAUCCACACUUUUUUAAAGGGUUAAACUUUGUCAUUUGUGAAAAUAGGCCACUUAUAAUGAAACGAUCCAAAAAAGGAAUACAUGUCACUUUAGUGGGAUGGAAGAGUAGUAAAAAGCUAUAGUUGCGAAUAUAGCCAAUCUGAGAGAGCGCGUAAAAUUUAAGCCUAUACAAAAGGGCAUCCAAGGUUGGCAAUGGCAAUUCUAGCAAACAAAAGGAACCCCACUUAGAAUGGCUGCAUUCAUGCUACAUCCUUGUCACAUAAUUAUUAUUUCACCUAAAUAAUUGAGAUAGAAAACAAAUCAAAGUAAAUAAAAGGUAAUAUCUUACUUUCAUGGCUUCCACUGCUGUCAUAUACUAAUACUAAUAUUCUUUUCCAAAGCAAGAAAAGCUUGACUGAAAAUGAAGCUCAACGAAAAAGUAGGAUUCUCAAAUCAUUCGACCGUGAAUGAACAUUGCGCACAUCCUCAUUAGUCACAAAAGCUAAAGUUGAGUAACAAGAAUGAGCUGCAUUUUAGCCUCACCUACACAUCUCUUCUUUAUUCCUUGAUCCACAAAAUUCAAGCAGUUUCUGAUCUCAAACAUGGGUUAUUUCCCCUACAUGUAUGUUAUAUUUUGUGUAAUAAUUCCAACCAUUUUGGGCCAAGUUACAGGUGAGUUCUUCUUCAUUC